rnacentral:rRNA from 1 species
UUUGACAUGGCAGGAAUCCUGAAGAGAUUUGGGAGUGCUCGAAAGAGAACCUGCACACAGGUGCUGCAUGGCUGUCGUCAGCUCGUGUCGUGAGAUGUUGGGUUAAGUCCCGCAACGAGCGCAACCCUUGCCAUUAGUUGCUACGAAAGGGCACUCUAAUGGGACUGCCGGUGACAAACCGGAGGAAGGUGGGGAUGACGUCAAGUCCUCAUGGCCCUUAUAGGUGGGGCUACACACGUCAUACAAUGGCCGGUACAGAGGGUAGCCAACCCGCGAGGGGGAGCCAAUCCCACAAAGCCGGUCGUAGUCCGGAUCGUAGUCUGCAACUCGACUGCGUGAAGUCGGAAUCGCUAGUAAUCGUGGAUCAGCAUGUCACGGUGAAUACGUUCCCGGGUCUU